GGGUUUAUUUCCAAAGGCCGGCAAAGCAAGAGAACAUAAUUUCUGUUAUGAGAACAUAGUUGGUUUUCUAUACUGCAUGGUUGGAGCAAAACUUCUAACUAAAAAUCUUCAACGGCUUCUCAACUUAUUAACCUAUCCACAAAAGUCCCAAGAAUGCUUGCAAAGCACAGAAGUAAAAUCCUAUUUAUCCUGCUGGCAGAAUGGAACUCAGGCUAUAUAUUAAAUGGAUGAAAAGGUUGAACUUAGCAAUGGUAAGGAGAAUACCUGAGAUAGAGUGUCUGCCCUACCUAAGGUGACACGGGUGAGCUACAAGGACAUGCCAGAUCUCUACCAUCUUUGGGGCUGUGUGGUGUGUCAUUUCCACAUCCUUGGGGGCCUUGCUCCACAGCAGAACAGCUCAUGGCAUCCACUCACUCAAGAAUAGACAGUAGUCCUCUGAAUGUUUUCUCACUGGCUCUUCUGUUUCCUGUGAUCUUUACCCUCUUAUUGGCUACAUUUAAUCAAGAUGAUAAUUUGAGACAAUUUAAUAUAAGUGUGGAGGAAAUGGAAGUACUUUAUGCCUGCUGGUCCAUUGCCUGAUUAAAAAUGUAUUGUAUAAAGAGAAGCAGAAAUAGAUGUAUUUUCCUUUUUAAACAAACAACAGUAUUCUGAUAUAUUCAGCUGUUUUCCAUACUCUUUCACUGACUUUACUACCAGUCAGGAGAUUCCUUAUUUGGGGCUACAUCCAAGAAAAAAAAAAUGGAAAAUAGUGAAUGUAUUUCUUGGACCUAUACAGGGCUAUGUUGUCUUGUGUUAUACAAAUGACAAGGAGAAGGUUUUGGUUUGCAACUCAGAGGACUUUCCCUGCAUUCUUGAACCCACACUGCAUGAUUCUUGCCUCACUUCACGGCCAAUUGAAGAAAAUCAGAGAAAGGAGCCAAGUUUUAUACCACAAGAUAAGACUGUUAUGUCUCCCUGAAGGGGUAGAGUCAGCAAAAGAGAAACUAAAGACCAUAAUAGUAUUAAACUAGCCUUAAAUUGAGGACACAUCAAAUCUUCCCCACUCUUUCUUCUCAUUAUAGCUCUGCAAAUUACAUCAACUUCAGUUAUUCAUUAGCCCUGGAUGUGUCUUCUUUCUUUUUCACUAUUUCCCUCUCAUGCAUCAAGCUCCUAGAAAUUCCCAAAUUUCUCUAUGUUUACACUUAUCUCCCCUUCUGGAAUUAAUUGAAAACUAUCAUCCCUCAAUAAUUGUCUUAGCAUAGGGAUGCCCACUCAUGCAAAGGGAAAGAAAUAUGAUCUGCAACAUUGAGUUUCAUGUAACAAUGUCACCAGGGGGAAAGGCACCAAUGUUCACACCUUGUCACUGCCCUGGGCCCAUCCUCAUCUGCACAGCCAUGUUUUUCUCUAAAAUAACUUUUACUUAAUGCUGUUACUGUCUUAUAGAUGUAAAGACUGGUAUUUUGUAUUUAUAAAUUCACACGCCUCUUGUUUUCAUACCUUGUUUAAAAUAAU